UCCUCUUAAGAAGCUGAAGAGUUUGCCUUCUGGAUUUACUUUGAUGACAGUUGCAUUUUUGGUGUAGAAUUUAUCAAGGUUAUCACUGUGAAAACAACAGAUACUACUUCAGAAAACCUGUAUAUUCAGCAGAGCAACACCUUUGAUGACCAUGGAGUGUAUACUUGGAUUAUUGAAGGCUUCACCACACCUCAGACCCCAUGCAACUCUCCAACAUUUGUAACUGGCGGAUACAAAUGGUAUCUAAGUAUCAAGACAUCUAACAUGGAUGUGGAUGGCAGCACGAAUUUUCUCUCUCUGUUCCUGCAUCUGUAAGAUAUGCUCCCCAGAAAUCAUGGAAUACUGGUAGAAGUCAGCUUUUCUCUCAUGGACCAAGCAAAUGGCAACCACAGGGAGUUCAGAGGAAUUGGCAGGGCAUGUGGAUGGAGCAAACCUUCCAAGAUGCUCGGUUUAGGUGCGACUCUCCAUCGUUUCCUGCGGCCGCAGCAGCGACGGCAAGCGGCUCUCCUCCUUGGAGCCUCAGGUGAGGCGACCCCGCGGCGAGCGGAGCAGCGACGGCGGGAGGGAG